UGAUAUGGUCGUAGUACAGCGACCAGUAUAAUCAAAAAAAAUGCACAAAUGGA
rnacentral:sRNA from 12 species